UACAGAGGGGGCAAGCGUUGUUCGGAAUUACUGGGCGUAAAGAGCGCGCAGGCGGACUGAUCAGUCCGGGGGUGAAAUCUCACGGCUCAACUGUGAGUGGUCCCUGGAUACUGUCAGUCUUGAGAUGUCUAGAGGAGAGCGGAAUUCCCGGUGUAGUGGUGGAAUGCGUAGAUAUCGGGAAGAACACCAGUGGCGAAAGCGGCUCUCUGGGGACCAUCUGACGCUGAGGCGCGAAAAGCGUGGGGGAGCGAACCGG
rnacentral:rRNA from 1 species